rnacentral:rRNA from 1 species
AAGGCAAGACCGCGAGGUGGAGCAAAUCUCAAAAAGCCGUCCCAGUUCGGAUCGCAGGCUGCAACCCGCCUGCGUGAAGUUGGAAUCGCUAGUAAUCGCGGAUCAGCAUGCCGCGGUGAAUACGUUCCCGGGCCUUGUACACACCGCCCGUCACACCAUGGGAGUCGGGAAUGCCCGAAGUCAGUGACCCAACCAAAUGGAGGGAGCUGCCGAAGGCAGGUCUGAUAACUGGGGUGAAGUCGUAACAAGGUAAC